rnacentral:rRNA from 1 species
AGUUGAUCCUGGCUCAGGACGAACGGCUGGCGGCGUGCCUAACACAUGCAAGUCGAACGAGAAUCGUCUGGAAGGAGACUUCGGUCAACGGAAGGAGAGGACAGUGGCGGACGGGUGAGUAACGCGUGAGCAACCUGCCCUUCAGAGGGGGACAACAGCUGGAAACGGCUGCUAAUACCGCAUGACAUACUAAUGAGGCAUCUCAAUAGUAUCAAAGAUUUAUCGCUGAAGGAUGGGCUCGCGUCUGAUUAGCUGGUUGGUGGGGUAAUGGCCUACCAAGGCGACGAUCAGUAGCCGGACUGAGAGGUUGAACGGCCACAUUGGGACUGAGAUACGGCCCAGACUCCUACGGGAGGCAGCAGUGGGGAAUAUUGGGCAAUGGGGGCAACCCUGACCCAGCAACGCCGCGUGAAGGAAGAAGGCUUUCGGGUUGUAAACUUCUUUGACGAGGGACGAUAAUGACGGUACCUCGAAAACAAGCCACGGCUAACUACGUGCC